CCUACGGGACGCAGCAGUGGGGAAUAUUGGACAAUGGGGGGAACCCUGAUCCAGCCAUGCCGCGUGUGUGAAGAAGGCCUUAUGGUUGUAAAGCACUUUAAGCGAGGAGGAGGGUACUGGUAUUAAUACUACCAGGUACUGGACGUUACUCGCAGAAUAAGCACCGGCUAACUCUGUGCCAGCAGCCGCGGUAAUACAGAGGGUGCGAGCGUUAAUCGGAUUUACUGGGCGUAAAGCGUGCGUAGGCGGCUAAUUGAGUCGGAUGUGAAAUCCCCGAGCUUAACUUGGGAAUUGCAUUCGAUACUGGUUAGCUAGAGUGUGGGAGAGGAUGGUAGAAUUCCAGGUGUAGCGGUGAAAUGCGUAGAGAUCUGGAGGAAUACCGAUGGCGAAGGCAGCCAUCUGGCCUAACACUGACGCUGAGGUACGAAAGCAUGGGGAGCAAACAGGAUUAGAUACCCCUGUAGUC
rnacentral:rRNA from 1 species